GACGAACGCUGGCGGCGUGCUUAACACAUGCAAGUCGAACGGAAAGGCCCUGCUUGCAGGGUACUCGAGUGGCGAACGGGUGAGUAACACGUGGGUGAUCUGCCCUGCACUUCGGGAUAAGCCUGGGAAACUGGGUCUAAUACCGGAUAGGAGCCAUUUUUAGUGUGAUGGUUGGAAAGUUUUUUCGGUGUAGGAUGAGCUCGCGGCCUAUCAGCUUGUUGGUGGGGUAAUGGCCUACCAAGGCGGCGACGGGUAGCCGGCCUGAGAGGGUGGACGGCCACAUUGGGACUGAGAUACGGCCCAGACUCCUACGGGAGGCAGCAGUGGGGAAUAUUGCAAAAUGGGCGCGAGCCUGAUGCAGCGACGCCGCGUGGGGGAUGACGGCCUUCGGGUUGUAAACUCCUUUCGCUAGGGACGAAGCUGUUUGUGACGGUACCUAGAUAAGAAGCACCGGCUAACUACGUG
rnacentral:rRNA from 1 species